rnacentral:rRNA from 1 species
UCCAGACUCCUACGGGAGGCAGCAGUGAGGAAUAUUGGUCAAUGGGAGGAAUCCUGAACCAGCCAUGCCGCGUGCGGGACGACGGCUCUACGAGUUGUAAACUGCUUUUGUACCGGGGUAAAAUGCCUUACGAGUAGGGUUUUGAAAGUACGGUACGAAUAAGGAUCGGCUAACUACGUGCCAGCAGCCGCGGUAAUACGUAGGGGGCGAGCGUUAUCCGGAAUUACUGGGUGUAAAGGGAGCGUAGACGGCGAGGUAAGCCUGAAGUGGAAGCCCGCGGCCCAACCGCGGAACUGCUUUGGGAACUGUUUUGCUGGAGUAUGGGAGGGGUAAGCGGAAUUCCUGGUGUAGCGGUGAAAUGCGUAGAUAUCAGGAGGAACACCGGUGGCGAAGGCGGCUUACUGGACCAUAACUGACGUUGAGGCUCGAAAGCGUGGGGAGCGAACAGGAUUAGAUACCCCCGUA